UAGGGAAUCUUUCACAAUGGGCGAAAGCCUGAUGGAGCAACGCCGCGUGUGUGAUGAAGGGUUUCGGCUCGUAAAACACUGUUGUAAGAGAAGAAUGACAUUGAGAGUAACUGUUCAAUGUGUGACGGUAUCUUACCAGAAAGGAACGGCUAAAUACGUGCUAG
rnacentral:rRNA from 1 species